rnacentral:lncRNA from 1 species
GAUGAAACAAAUGAAAGAUAUUGAAGAGAAAAAACAGCGAUUAACGGGUGACAGGAAUCCAGUGUCUCAGCCAGGUGCCCAGAAGCCUAGGUCUGAAGCUACAGGAGAUGCAGCCAGAAUGAGGGUGGCCAAGUGUGGGGGGUUGAACACCCUUCUCUCUCUUUCCUGCCGGAAUCCUGUUUAUCCAGCUGUUUCCCUGAAUUUGAUGCCCCUUGUAAUUACAUUUAAUGAGACUCCGAAUAUUAACUGGCACAAUAGCAAAGCGAUGAUCUCUAGUUGAAAACUCCAACAAGACAGGCUGUUCAGCUAGGGAUCUUCCUGUCUCCACCUCCUACAGCUCCUGGAUUGGUGAAUAAACAUGAUCGUAGACAUGGUGUAAUGUCUAAUCUAUUUCUGAAUGUAAUGGCAUUGAAAUAUUUUGAUGGAAGUAGGAGGACACAUAGUAAAAUAUUCAUGAUUCACUGGUCAUCUGGUAAAUCCCUGAAGAAAUGCUGAUAUGUACACCGCUGCCUUCUCUCAUGAGCUUCUAUAUGCAACAGAUGAGUGUAAUUGUCUAUGAAACAAAACAUCGGUAUCUACAUAUGAAUUUCAUAUUCAUGGCAAUGGAUGGAGACUAACAACAGUGCUUCUUAUGGUGAUGCUACCCUGCCCUAGACAGCUCCAGGAAACAAACACCAGUGACAUGAGCAGCACGUGUUAUCACAAGUUUGGUUUUCUGGAUGUGGCAAAGCUGAGCAGAGCGUAUGACGCAGCUACAUUUUGUUACCAAUUCAGUCAUUGUCCCAACUGCAG